GUGAGGAAUUUUCCGCAAUGGGCGAAAGCCUGACGGAGCAAUGCCGCGUGAAGGAUGAAGGCCUAUGGGUUGUAAACUUCUUUUCUCAGAAAAGAAUUAUGACGGUAUCUGAGGAAUAAGCAUCGGCUAACUCUGUGCCAGCAGCCGCGGUAAGACAGAGGAUGCAAGCGUUAUCCGGAAUGAUUGGGCGUAAAGCGUCUGUAGGUUGUUUAAAAAGUAUUCUGUCAAAGAUUAGGGCUUAACCCUAGAUAGGCAGAAUAAACUUUUAAGCUAGAGUUUGGUAGAGGCAGAGGGAAUUCCCGGUGGAGCGGUGGAAUGCGUAGAUAUCGGGAGGAACACCAAAGGCGAAGGCACUCUGCUGGGCCAAUACUAACACUGAGAGGCGAAAGCGAGGGGAGCAAAUGGGAUUAGAAACCCCUGUAGUCC
rnacentral:rRNA from 1 species